UCUGCUCAAUGUAAAAUAUAAAUAGCUGCAUUUUGUACUAAGGUAGCAUAAUAAUUUGCCUUUUAAUUGAAGGAUUGUAUGAAUGAAUUUACAAAAUUAAUCCUGUCUUAUUAAAAUUUAUAAAAUUUAAUCUAAAAGUGAAAAAGCUUUUAUUAAAUAAAUAGACAAGAAGACCCUGUUGAGCUUUAUCUAAUUAUUAGAUUUUGUUGGGGCAACAUAAAUUAUUAAUCAAUUUUUAAUAAUAAAGAAUAAAAUCUUAUUUUAUAUCUUAUUUUAUAAAAUACUAUUAGUUACCACAGGGAUAACAGGCUAAUUUUUUUAUAGAGUUCAAAUUAACAAAAAAGUUUGGCACCUCGAUGUUGGCUUAGGAUUUCAUUUU
rnacentral:rRNA from 1 species